GAAAUGCGAUAAGUAGUGUGAAUUGCAGAAUUCAGUGAAUCAUCGAAUCUUUGAACGCACAUUGCGCCCUUUGGUAUUCCAAAGGGCAUGCCUGUUCGAGCGUCAUUUGUACCCUCAAGCUUUGCUUGGUGUUGGGCGUCUUGUCUCUAGCUUUGCUGGAGACUCGCCUUAAAGUAAUUUGCAGCCGGCCUACUGGUUUCGGAGCGCAGCACAAGUCGCACUCUCUAUCAGCAAAGGUCUAGCAUCCAUUAAGCCUUUUUUCAACUUUUGACCUCGGAUCAGGUAGGGAUACCCGCUGAACUUAAGC
rnacentral:misc_RNA from 1 species